rfam:Aspergillus terreus NIH2624 scaffold_5 genomic scaffold, whole genome shotgun sequence.
GUCUCCAUAGUCUAGUGGUCAGGACGGCGGUCUCAUAGUAAUCUAUGACAGUUCCUACAAAAGGACUGGUAAUCCGCAAGCACGAGUUCGAUUCUCGUUGGAGGCA